rnacentral:rRNA from 1 species
UACGUAGGUGGCACGCGUUGUCCGGAUUUACUGGGCGUAAAGAGCGCGCAGGCGGUCGUUCAAGUCGCGUGUGAAAGCCCCCGGCUCAACUGGGGAGGGUCACGCGAUACUGAUCGACUCGAAGGCAGGAGAGGGUAGUGGAAUUCCCGGUGUAGUGGUGAAAUGCGUAGAUAUCGGGAGGAACACCAGUGGCGAAGGCGACUACCUGGCCUGUUCUUGACGCUGAGGCGCGAAAGCUAGGGGAGCAAACGGG